CCUACGGGUGGCAGCAGUCGAGAAUCAUUCACAAUGGGGGAAACCCUGAUGGUGCGACGCCGCGUGGGGGAAUGAAGGUCUUCGGAUUGUAAACCCCUGUCAUGUGGGAGCAAAAUAAAAAGAUAUAACCACAAGAGGAAGAGACGGCUAACUCUGUCGCAGCAGCCGCGGUAAUACCGAGGUCUCAGCGUUGUUCGGAAUCACAGGGCGUAAAGCGGGCGUAGGCUGUUUCGUAAGUCGUGUGUGAAAGUCGCGGGCUCAACCCGGGGAGGGCAAAUGAUACUGGGAGACUAGAGUAAUGGAGAGGGGAGCGGAAUUCUAGGUGUAGCAGUGAAAUGCGUAGAUAUCGAGAGGAACACUCGUGGCGAAGGCGGGUCCCUGGACAUUAACUGACGCUGAGGCACGAAGGCCAGGGGAGCGAAAGGGAUUAGAUACCCGUGUAGUC
rnacentral:rRNA from 1 species